GGAAUACUAUCUCUAAACUUGCAUCUUCAUUAUGAGAUCUAUUUCAGUGCUAUUGUUACUCCUGGGAAGAUCGUAGAUCAUUUAUUUUGUGUGGGAGUGAUACUGAUGGUGAGAUGAUACUAUUCUUCCCUACACACCUCCCUGAUUUAUUGUGUAUUUGAGAAUAUCUCACUGCUUGCUGAUGAAAUUUGAGAAUAAUUUGCAUCCAUGUUAAACAAUAUGAAUCUUUGUCCACCCUUUCAGUUAAUUUAUUUUCUGAAACACAGGUAGUUUCCAGAAACAGAGUAAUAGUGAGAGGGUGGACUUUGAGGAUACUAAUUGUUAGAAGUUCUGUUUUUCAGAAAGGGUCUAGUUUGCUAAUAACUGUGACUGAGUUUCAUGAAGAAUAGAUUCAAAUGUUGGUUGAUUUACCUGAACAUGUCUUGGAAAAAAAAAAAGGGGUGUAAUGUUUGAGCACUGGAGGAGCAAGAGAAGUAACUUUAUAGUUAGAGACGUUAGUUCCAUACAGAAGCAGCAGUAUGUGUUCUCAGUCACUGUGGAAAUUAUUCCUUUGUUUUCAGUUAUCAUAUCCUUGGCAUGGUAAAGCCUCUUCAGCCCCUACAAGGUCAUUUGAUUUGAUUGUCAGGCCUAGCACACUACAAAGGCAUUUGAUUUGAUUGUCAGACCUGUGUAGGUGCCUCUUUGAAAAUUUAAAUAUACUGUGAAUAGAAUAGAAACAUGUUUAUCCCACUUUCCCACUUAAUUUGUAUACUGUCCAGUGAAACACAGAACUGAAAAACCAAUGCAGUAAGCCUCCAUGUUCUUUUGUUCUAUUAAUACCACUGUGGUUGAAUAUCUUGAAAUUUUUGACCAUGCCAACAUGCCUGAUAUAAAUAGCUGUGCAAAUAGAGCUCAGCUGAGAUUACCAAACUUGGUGUUUUGCAUUUUUGAUCCAACUUGAAUGGGGAUGUCUGAAAGCAAGAUAGAAAUUAUCCCCUGUGGCACUAAUCUGGCAUGACGACUGAGAAAUUAAAGACCUUGUUUUCAGGAUUUUCUGCCUGACUGCCAUAUCACCAGUAGGCCUUUGCCUAAAGAUCCUGAUCUCAUGCUAGGACAGUGUCUGCUGUUCCUUCCUACAGAAAGAGCAUGAAAUAAGUGGAUGGAACACGGAAGUUCAGAUAUACUUCAUCUUAGUUCUUAGCUCAUUAUCUUUUCUACUUCCUUAUCAAAACAGCCUCCCUCUUCUAUUUUUCCUUUUUCCUUCAGGCAGCCCCUUAACCUGAAUGUUUCCUCAAACAGGGCCCUUUGUAGACUGUCAAAGCUGAACUGUAAAAUGUUUUUAAAAAGUCUAUUUCAAAGUGUGAACCAGUUAUCUGACUUAGGAAGAGGAUUUUUUGCUGGGAAGCAUUGGAUGUUAAUGUCGGAAUUAAUAGCUCUACCUUUAGGAGCCUUGCAAUAUCUUCAAGAAAUUCCUAUGCAGGUAGGAUGUGUACAUGUAGUAAAGGAAGCUAGAGGUGUGGAAUUCACAGAAGGUAAUUUAAUUUCAGUAGAGUGGGUAGGCCUGUAGAUAGGAGAUGGAAGACUGCAAGAGUUGUAGCAAGUGCAUUUCUUAAAAUAGAGAUAUUCUCAGGAUUUAUCUUAUAGUAAAUGAAAAUAAAGACUAUAGCCCAUAUCUCCUGCCUACCAUCAAAAUAUUAGAAGCGUAAUUUGAGAACAAGUCUUAAGGAGUUUUCAUUUAUGUAAUAUAUGGUUGGGAUUAAUGAGUUAUAGUCAAAUUAUUAUGCGGGAGAGAGAAAGGAAGAAGCAGUACUUAACUUGUAGUCAGUUUACUGCUAGGGGUAACACGCAAGCUGUUGGAAAAAACAACAACAAAAGCCAACAAAAACAACACCACUACCAACAAAACCACCUCUUGGGAGCUGUUGGAAUAGUUCUGUAGGUGAAAGUUCUUGACAGAAUGCUGGUGUUCUCUGAGUCUGACAGUAUUGUGUUAUAUGAAAAUAAAUCAUCGUUUUUCCAGGACUUUCAAAGAUGUUAAAACUCUGCAUCAGCUCUGUAUCUGUACAGAGACAUUACCUACCCAGACCAGAUCAAAGUUGCAAUAUAUACAUCUUGGAAUUUUUUUGUUGUUGUUGUUUUCCUCACUCAAGGUGUUUUAAAUGUCAUUUUUUAAUGUGUACAAGAGCACAACUUCGUUGAAUGUUUUGGUUUUUUAGUGCUUUUGUGUACCUAGUCUAUACUAUUUUUUCCUUUUCCUCCCCUACAAUACAGGUGUGAAGAUCUAACUCAGCUCAACUAAUGACCCGUGAGUGCCACAUGUUGUCUCUGCAUAUGAUUUCUUAAAAAGAAUAGAAAAUGUAUACUACUUUUUUUGUUGUUAACUUUCAGAAAGGUUCUCUUCCCAGCAAAUGGAUAACUGUUUUCCCUUUUAAUCCAGCCAUCAUUUGGAAAUCUAGGUUGAGCUUCACAAGUGAAGUACAGAGGGUCUAAAAAGGUGUCAGCUCUCUGUGGUUGGUGGAUCCUUCUGUACUUUUAUUCCUGUUAUGACCUUGUGAGAACAAAUAUGUACAUAUAUCUUCAUAUUAGGGCAGCUGUGGUACAGAAAGUACGAAAAAGCUGCUCUCAAUGGUGAAGACUUAUUUAGCAAACUGGUCUUUAGAGGUGCAUCAGUAAAAUGUACCUUGAUCAAUGACAAUAGUAACAGUACACAUUUUUCUACUGCUGUCUUAAUCAUGUCUGUGCUCAGCUGAUUUUAUUUCCGGAAAUCAUUAAUUGUGAGACCUCAUGCUUUGCUAAAUACUUUACAAGGUUCUCUCCAUUUAAUCAGGCAUUUAUAAUGAAUGGCUUUGCAGUAACUGUCUGCUGCUGUAUUUUGGGCUUUCAUACACCUUUUGUAAUUAAAUAGAUUGUUUUCUUUAGAAUACUGUUAUAUAGCAAUUAUAUUGCUUCUCUAAGGCCUACAAGAUGAGAGUUGAUUAUCAAUACCUGAUCAAACAAUUUUUUUCAUGGCCAAGUGUUUGCAGGCCAGUCUCAUUAAUCAAGAAGUUUGCUGCUUAUGAAAACAUGGCCAUCUUUACACACCUUACUUAGGAAAUAAAUGUAAGCAUUUAGUUUUACUAUUUUAAUUUUCUUCCAGAUGCUGUUCCUCAAAUUGCAGGGCAGCUGAAGGAAUAAGAGCCUUAAUUCAGUGUUACAAUACUGUCUAUUCAAAUAAGUUGAGAAGCACUGAAGCAAGAAAACUUAAAACUUAAUAUGAUGUAAAAGUGUACUACAAACUUACUUGAACAGCAUCUUGUUCUUCAGAUAAAUAUUAGGCAAAGAAUCUAUAAAACUGGAGGCAGCAGUCAGCUAAGGCUAACAAGAUUUUAGGCUUGCGGCGACAGGAUCAGCAGCAUUUCAUGCCAUUUUAGGCAUUACUACAUGCUUUGCUUCAACCUUUUGUCAGUUCUUCCACAACAGAAUCCUGCUGCUGUAUCCAAAUCCCUGGUUAUUCCACGAGAAGUGUUUGACAUGGAUUUUGUUGAAGAUUUUGAUGUACACUUUCAGGAUUAUUUAUUCCAAAAGGUUUUAUAGUGCCGUGCAGAAGAUGAACAUUUCAAGUUCUUGAACUUUAAAAUAUUUGUACUUCCUCAGAAGUCUCCAGUCACUGACACAGUUUUUAAUACUUAGUGAACAGAAUGAAACAGGCUGCAUGUCUUUCAAGCUCCAAGUACAGUGGAGGAGGAAAUAAAUAGUGAAGGGAGUUUUUGUGGUAGUGUUUUACUCUCAGUUCUUGAUUAGUGUAUGUCUGCUGUCAUAGUUGCUGCCUAGGAGCUGGAAUGAGCACCUCUUAGAAGCAGUUCCAGUGUCUGAUCCAGCUGCUACUGAAGUCCAUCGCAAAAUUGCUACUUAUCUCAAACACAACCUUGAUCAGUCCUAACGCAAUAAUCUGGAAGGAAAAUUCAGUGUUCCAGAUACAUCAAAAACACUUGAGGAUUAACAGGAUGUGCUUUUAAUCCUCCUUCAGUAGCUCAUUGAAAUAGAUGGCUGGGACUAUGACUGUAAUUUUUAUUUUCAUUCUGGAACACUUGCCUGACAGAAAAUCCCCUGUCAGGCCAAGAACAUAUAAGAUUUUCAGCUGUGGGUCCAGUAUGAUCGAUUGUAACCAUCCAUCUCAGGGACAUUUGACGGAGAUUACUGAAUAAAACCAACAGUGUGGGUAUUGAUUCUGUAUUGCAGUCUGAAUGAUUGAAGGUGUAAAUGUGCCCUGAUUCAGCAGACGAGGAUUGGCAAAUGCAGGCAGGUAACAUUUUGCUCCAAAAACAUUUUUGUGAUUCCAAAUCUCUUGUGAUUUUAAAACAAAUACUGUUGAAUGAGAUUUUGAGCUUCAUAGUCCUUGAUGCUUACAUAAAAAGUAUUUUAUUCUUCCUAGAUGCUGCUGGAGCUUCAUUUGGUGUUUUUUUUAAAAAGGGCUCCUCUUCGCUAAAUUUCCUCUUAAGUAUAUGUAGGUUGCUCUGAAAGUAAUGCCUCCUCUUUAUUUCCAUGAAAACUGCUACAGCUACAAAGAGCACUGUGACACUGUUUGAUAGAGAAAAUUCUCAGCUACAGAACGUUUUUUUAACAUACUUUUGGAGCAGUCCUUGUGUGUUUCAUAUUCUGUAAUUCUGCAGAUAUCAAUAAAAUCAUAGUACUAUCAUAUUUUUCAUGCUAUUUAUGCCUGCAGGGUGCUGAGCAAUGGCAAGGCACUAACUUCCAUUACAGCUAUUGCUAAUUAAUCUGAAUAAAUUUGAGAAGCGUGCUAUAGUUUAUAUCCAGAAAGCUCAGCAUGAAAUAUACAAAGUGUCUUGCUUUUAUAGCUCAAAUGAUGUCUGUAAUGAUUUGAAGUUCUUAGCAACAUGUAAAACAUUUUAUCAUUUUAUCUCUUCAUCUAUUAGUAAAAUAUGCCCUACUUAUAAGAAGAGUCUUAGAACUUUCAUUCUCCCAUGGUACUUUUAAUGGCUAUAUACUUCCUUGGAAAUAGAUAGAUCACUACUCAUUUCUUACUGCUGCUACUUCAAUUUUUGCCACUAGAGUUUUUAUUCAGUUUCCAGACUCUUUACCAUUCUUCUUUUCUACCAUUGCUCAUUUGCUGAGUAGAGUGGUAGUCAGACGUUAUCCUGAUAGCUUCUGUUGGAAAUGCUGCUAGUUGUGAAAUGGAUACACUUUUCACUCAUUGUUUGUGAGAAUUUUUCUAAUCCAUCCACCUACUGCACAUCCUGGCCUUUAUUAGCUGCUAUUUUCCUUCUUGAAGCACCAAGGUAAAGGAUGGUAAAAGGAUUUCCUGUCUCUGGACUACAGCUUGGUUUCACAAUUCAAGUGCAGAUCUACAAACAAUAAGAAACAACACCCUUCUGUGCGAGGCAAUUGUAAGGCAGCCAUGGCAGUUCAAAUGCUGGGGAGAACUGUUCUAUGGUACAAGAAGGAGCAGCAUUCUGGCAGCUCUUGCUGAAGCAGCUGGGAAAGUGACCUUAUAAACAGAGCUGGUAUACUCCUCUCUGUUCACAGCCUGAGGAGUUGGAGGUGCUGAAAAACAAAGGAGGCAAACUAUCCUGUCAGUAAUCUGCUUUGCUGGACCCUGGAAACAUUCCUACUCACUGCAGUGACUGUGCAAGUUCUGUGUGCUGAAGCAACAAGUGUGGCACGGUAUGUGGAGAAACACCACUAGUGAAAGGAGCGGGGACCCAGCAGCUGGAUAACCAUAUGCCAGGGCUCUUGGGAUAUCUUGCCAGCCACCAAUUUUUUGUUUGAACCUGAGCCCCCAGCUUCCAGUGCAUUGAUCAGGGAGUACAUCAGAAGCUUUCAAAAGUAAUAAAGACUCUAAGGAGACAAGAACAUGAAAAACCAAGCAAACUAUAAUUCUCCAAGACCUAAAAAAGAAGACUCAUAGCUCCUCCUUCAUGUUACUAAUUUCAUACAGCAUAAUGAAAAAAGAGACUAACAGCUUUGAGCCUUGCCAAGAUGGAUGGUUCAGAUAGUGGUAAUUUCUUAGUUUAGGGGGAGAAGUGUAAAUUUUUAGGCUUGGCCACUGCCAUGUUCCAUCCACGCUGCAGUUUGGAAUGAGCUCACAAUGUUCAGCUGACAACAGAAGAAAAAGUAACAGAAUGUCUCAGAAAAUGGCUAUUCAUGUCCAAAUACAAAAUGCAACUUUUUGGAAGGACUUUCCUAUAAUUAAACAGGAGCUUAAUUUUGGGCUGGCUUUUGUAUUUGCUCAAAAUUGAAGCUUUUCCUCUUUUAUGAGAUCUUCACUGUCAUUGUAUUUUUACGUGAACACUUGUUUGUACAAGUGAUAUGUACUGAGUACAGGACAUAUACUUAACAACAGACAUGCAGUUUAUAUUGUAUUUUGUAGGUUCAGGAUGAGCACUACUAAGGAAAAAUGCAGCAUGUUAUUGAACUCUGGGGAGAUCAUGAUAGGCAUACAAAUAUGUGCUCUUAUAAUUAUGCUUCCUUAACCUCUGUCAAUUUGCAAUGGACAUUUUAAAUUCAAUGUGGAAUCAAGUUUACUCAUUUGUUCAUGUUUUUUGUCACAGCUGGAAUCUCCACUGGCAUUGAUUUUACACUGCUUCUAUUUCAUUCACUUCAGUGGUAUUCAUAAGAUAGAAGAUGAUGCAAUCAUUUUAGUUUUACACCACACGGAAUAACAUGCCUUCAGACAAGACUGGUAUCUGGCUAAUGGCGACUUCAAAGUCUUACAUGCUGUAACAAACAACGUCAG
ensembl:lncRNA